UGUACAUAAAAAUGUUGGGAAAUUAUCCCAUUUUUUCCUUUGAUAACAAAACCACAGAACCAUGCUGCUGCAGCUGUCAGAAAACAACGUUCUCUUGUGUUCAUUGUCAAAAAUUGUUGCUUUGUUGUUGUUUUGCUAAUGCCCUAUUGUGUUGUGUUCAUAUAACCAUCUCUUUCUAACACAUGGAAUUGGGUAUUAUUUGUGUGUUCCCCUUGACCAUUCACAUGGUUUCACAUGUGCUAAAAUGUUUUAAAUUUAUUUUGCAGAUGAUUUUUUCGUUUAUUUGAAUAUAAUUUAGAAAUUAAAACUAAACUAAAUUGACUCGAAGAAAAAGAUCUUAACACGUGUGGCUUGGUGGUUGUGGGUUUUCUUUGGAAGCUGAUGAAUUUUUCGUUUAUUUGAAUAUAAUUUAGAAAUGAAAACUCCAAAAAUUGGAAUCUAAGAAAAAGAUCUCAACACGUGUGUCUUGGUGUUUGUGGGUUUUCUUUGGAAUCUGGGGCAUUUGCUGACAAGUUGGCUUCUUGGAAAGUAAAGAGAUGAAUCGAAAAAUCGUAUUAACUAUGAUAAAAGAUAAUAAACAACAUAAGGAAGUUUCCUUUUUCAUUUUCUCCAACCUUUUCACAAAAGUGAUUUGUUACCUGUAGCCCGUAGUAAUUGUUGUAACUGGAGUGCGUACCCUUAAUUCACUUCAAAUUGACUUCCAAGGAACGAAAGUUUUGCCGCUUGCAGCAAAGUCUCCUCGAAUCUGAAUCUUUUUAUACUCUACUCAGAUAACGAAGAACUACUUAAACUCUAAAGAGGUAUUCUUUGAAAGUCUUGGAUGCGGAAGAAAAUAUACAUUAAAAUCCAAUGUAUAACAAUAAAAUUUUA